GCCCUAGAUAGUAUCUAAGGUGUAACCUGCCCAGUGGUUUCUAAUACAAGAAAUAAAAAUUCUAUAAAGAAACUAAAAGGACGCGGUAACCUUGACCGUGGUAAUGUAGCAUAAUCACUCGCCAUUUAAUUGGUGGAUAGUAUGAAUGGUUGAACGAAUAUUCCGCUGUCUUAGAAAGAAGCACAAGAAAUUGAAAUAAUAGUUAAGAUGCUAUUUUUAACUGUAAGACGAAAAGACCCUAUAGAGCUUAACUAUAAUCUUCUUAUCAUAAAAGAAAAUAAAUUCUAUAUUUAAGAAGAUUGGUAGUUUAGUUGGGGCGACUGUCUUUUAUAACAAACAAAGACAAGCAAUGUUAAUAAAAAACUUAUUGUAUAACUAAAAUGUUUAACAAUUAUAAAAAUAGGCUAUAAUGACCCGUUAUUACUCUAUAAAAAGAAUAACGAUCAAUUAAUAAAAGCUACCUUAGGGAUAACAGGAUAAUUUCAUUUUAGAGUUCCUAUCGAAAAUGAAGUUUGUCACCUCUAUGUUGAAUUAAGAUAUCCUGAUAAUGCAGCA
rnacentral:rRNA from 1 species